rnacentral:rRNA from 1 species
UGGGGAAUUUUGCACAAUGGGGGAAACCCUGAUGCAGCGACGCCGCGUGAUUUAGAAGGCCUUCGGGUUGUAAAAAUCUUUUCUAUGGGAAGAAAAUGACAGUACCAUAGGAAUAAGGACCGGCUAAUUACGUGCCAGCAGCCGCGGUAAUACGUAAGGUCCGAGCGUUGUCCGGAAUCAUUGGGCGUAAAGGGUACGUAGGCGGGUAAGCAAGUUAGAAGUGAAAUCCUAUAGCUCAACUAUAGUAAGCUUUUACAACUGCUCAUCUUGAGGUAUGGAAGGGAAAGUGGAAUUCCUAGUGUAGCGGUGAAAUGCGCAGAUAUUAGGAGGAAUACCGGUGGCGAAGGCGACUUUCUGGCCAUAACCUGACGCUGAGGUACGAAAGCGUGGGUAGCAAACAGG